rnacentral:rRNA from 1 species
UACAGAGGUCCCGAGCGUUGUUCGGAUUUACUGGGCGUAAAGAGCGCGCAGGCGGUCGUUCAAGUCGCGUGUGAAAGCCCCCGGCUCAACUGGGGAGGGUCACGCGAUACUGAUCGACUCGAAGGCAGGAGAGGGUAGUGGAAUUCCCGGUGUAGUGGUGAAAUGCGUAGAUAUCGGGAGGAACACCAGUGGCGAAGGCGACUACCUGGCCUGUUCUUGACGCUGAGGCGCGAAAGCUAGGGGAGCAAACGGGG